CUAAGAUGAGGAACCUUGCAAGCACAUUUGUGGUUGUACUGCUGAUUUCAGUUUGCUUCGAUUCCAGUUUACAGACAUCCCCGCCUCAUAUCUUGAAAAUUAUUCAUGAUUGCCGAUGUCCACGAACUUGUGUAUUUUCAUUAAGAGUUUGUUUAAUAGCCGGGGCCUGCCGGAGAUGCAAGUCACCGAACUAUGGAAAGAAAAGGUAGCCAAAAAAAAAAAACCCAAGAAAAAAUAUUUGCAUGCUUGGACUGAAGACGAGUUUAAGAUAGCCAGUUGUGAAUGAAAAGACUUACAAAUUGCUCUGAAGAAAAGUAGCGUAAACUGUGGGAGAUUCUGAAGCCAAUGAAAAUUUGUUUCAAAGGAAUGAGUUAAUGUAACUUUUAUUGAUAACAGUAUCAUACAACGAUAUUAUGUCCAUAUAUCUUAUCAUAUUGUUUUAUGCGUAUUACAUGUAA